UACAGAGGGGGCAAGCGUUAUUCGGAAUUAUUGGGCGUAAAGGGCGCGUAGGCGGCCCUCUAAGUCGAACGUGAAAUCCCCGGGCUCAACCCGGGAACUGCGUCCGAUACUGGAGGGCUCGAAUCCGGGAGAGGGAUGCGGAAUUCCAGGUGUAGCGGUGAAAUGCGUAGAUAUCUGGAGGAACACCGGUGGCGAAGGCGGCAUCCUGGACCGGCAUUGACGCUGAGGCGCGAAAGCCAGGGGAGCAAACGGG
rnacentral:rRNA from 1 species